AGAAGAUUAGGUUAACCUUAAACCAGUAGCCUUCAAAGCUACAAACAGGGAUUAAACCACCCUACCUUCUG
rnacentral:tRNA from 1 species